GAUGAAGAACGUAGCGAAAUGCGAUACUUGGUGUGAAUUGCAGAAUCCCGUGAACCAUCGAGUCUUUGAACGCAAGUUGCGCCCGAAGCCAUUAGGCCGAGGGCACGCCUGCCUGGGCGUCACACGUCGUUGCCCCCCCAUCUACUCCUUCGGGAUUGCGGGGGGCGGAUGAUGGCCUCCCGUGCGCCUUGUCGCGCGGUUGGCAUAAAUACCAAGUCCUCGGCGACGCACGCCACGACAAUCGGUGGUUGCGAAACCUCGGUUGCCUGUCGUGUGCGGUCGUCGCGCAUCGAGGGCUCGAAAAAAUUGCCGGGCUCCGGCUCGACUUUCAACGCGACCCCAGGUCAGGCGGGGUUACCCGCUGAAUUUAAGCAUAUCAAUAAGCGGAGGA
rnacentral:misc_RNA from 1 species